CCCUUAGAUGUUCUGGGCCGCACGCGCGCUACACUGAUGCAUUCAACGAGUCCAACCUUGACCGAGAGGUCCGGGUAAUCUUUUGAAAGUGCAUCGUGAUUGGGAUAGAUGAUUGCAAUUCUUCAUCUUCAACGAGGAAUGCCUAGUAAACGCAAGUCAUCAGCUUGCAUUGAUUACGUCCCUGCCCUUUGUACACACCGCCCGUCGCUCCUACCGAUUGAAUGAUCCGAUGAAUACCAUGGAUUGAGAGUACGAAUAGGUUCGCUUAUUUCUACUUCUUGAGAAGUGGAGUAAAUCUUAUCAUUUAGAGGAAGGAGAAGUCGUAACA
rnacentral:rRNA from 1 species